GGGGGGGGGGGGGCUAAUACAUGCAAGUCGAGCGAAUGGAUUAAGAGCUUGCUCUUAUGAAGUUAGCGGCGGACGGGUGAGUAACACGUGGGUAACCUGCCCAUAAGACUGGGAUAACUCCGGGAAACCGGGGCUAAUACCGGAUAACAUUUUGAACCGCAUGGUUCGAAAUUGAAAGGCGGCUUCGGCUGUCACUUAUGGAUGGACCCGCGUCGCAUUAGCUAGUUGGUGAGGUAACGGCUCACCAAGGCAACGAUGCGUAGCCGACCUGAGAGGGUGAUCGGCCACACUGGGACUGAGACACGGCCCAGACUCCUACGGGAGGCAGCAGUAGGGAAUCUUCCGCAAUGGACGAAAGUCUGACGGAGCAACGCCGCGUGAGUGAUGAAGGCUUUCGGGUCGUAAAACUCUGUUGUUAGGGAAGAACAAGUGCUAGUUGAAUAAGCUGGCACCUUGACGGUACCUAACCAGAAAGCCACGGCUAACUACGUGCCAGCAGCCGCGGUAAUACGUAGGUGGCAAGCGUUAUCCGGAAUUAUUGGGCGUAAAGCGCGCGCAGGUGGUUUCUUAAGUCUGAUGUGAAAGCCCACGGCUCAACCGUGGAGGGUCAUUGGAAACUGGGAGACUUGAGUGCAGAAGAGGAAAGUGGAAUUCCAUGUGUAGCGGUGAAAUGCGUAGAGAUAUGGAGGAACACCAGUGGCGAAGGCGACUUUCUGGUCUGUAACUGACACUGAGGCGCGAAAGCGUGGGGAGCAAACAGGAUUAAUCUUUUGUGUGUGUUACAAAAA
rnacentral:rRNA from 1 species